rnacentral:rRNA from 1 species
UACGUAGGGCGCAAGCGUUGUCCGGAAUUAUUGGGCGUAAAGAGCUCGUAGGCGGUCUGUCGCGUCGGCUGUGAAAGCCCGGGGCUCAACCCCGGGUCUGCAGUCGAUACGGGCAGGCUAGAGUGCGGUAGGGGAGACUGGAAUUCCUGGUGUAGCGGUGAAGUGCGCAGAUAUCAGGAGGAACACCGGUGGCGAAGGCGGGUCUCUGGGCCGUAACUGACGUUGAGGAGCGAAAGCGUGGGGAGCGAACAGG